UACAGAGGUGGCGAGCGUUGUUCGGAUUUAUUGGGCGUAAAGGGUCCGUAGGCGGUCCGUAAAGUCUGAUGUGAAAUCCCACAGCUCAACUGUGGAACUGCAUUGGAAACUCACGGACUAGAGUAUGAGAGGGGUUAAGGGAAUUCCCGGUGUAAGGGUGAAAUCUGCAGAGAUCGGGAGGAACACCAGUCGCGAAGGCGCUUAACUGGCUCAUUACUGACGCUCAGGGACGAAAGCUAGGGGAGCAAACGGG
rnacentral:rRNA from 1 species